rnacentral:lncRNA from 1 species
AGGUGCCCACAGCAGAAUCCACAUGCCGUCCAUCUGGUCCAGCCUCACGCAGAGCCACAACUGUGCUGGCGCCUGGAGCUGCCAGCCCCACUGCAGCAGCCGGACUGACAUUCAGACGUGGAGCAAGUUGGACUGCAUAGGGACCCACCAGUGAGAUGGACGCUGUCUGUAAACGGUUCUCCAGGGAGGCUGCUCUGCCAAGUCUGGUAUUUCAUGAAUAGAUCUGAAAACAGACAUUAUCUCUUCUCCCAGUGAAGAGAGAGCGAUGAAGCCUCAGGACAAAAGGAGGCAGUGGGAUGAUGCCACCAAGGGACCAUUCUGAAGAGCCAUCAGCAAAAAGC